rnacentral:lncRNA from 1 species
CCUUUGUUAGGGCUGCAUCCAGCCCUGGAGAAGAGCUUAGCCCUGCAUGGAGAAUUGAACAGCCGCAGCAGUAGAGAAGGCUUUCAUCGUGACCUGUUCUUCUUUCUUUCUUCCUCUGGCGACUUCCAUUGAAGAAACUCCCUCUUAGCACUUCAUUUUUUUAUAUAGGAGAAAUCAUUCCCGAAAUGCCCCAAAGACUUCUCUCCCUCCUUCUAUUAUUUUUUUCUUUUGUGUGGAACUCCCCUCCUCCGAAGAGAUCCUGGAACCGAACCCCCCAAGCUUGCCUUCAUCUUCACGCGUUGAUUCCCUUUUAUAGCCUUCACCUGGGUGGGCGGAUAAGGUUGAUUGAGCUGAUCUGCCGUUGGGAAGAUGAGCUGAGAUUUCUUCAACGUUGAGGAGAUGCGGCUGGUAGUUGAUCCGGAAGUUGUGUUG